UUUUGUGUUCAUGCUUUGUUUUUUCACUCCAAGGGUGAAAAGGGUUCUUUCUCAAAAGAUGCUAACUUGUUGCAGCCCCACCUCCCCUUGACUUCAGGCGAGAUGAGAAGACUUACUUAAAACAGCCAACCACAUCUAUCAAAAUAACCAAAAUCAAAGCUUGAUUCAAGCCUGCAAAUGAAUGGAACUAGUCCUGGCUGUGAAUGGAACCACCAGCAGCUUCAUUUAGCCUUACUCUUGGAAGUCCCUGUUUGCAAUCGGCAUUGCUAUAGGUUCUUCACAGGCUGUUGAAGCUUGAUAUAGUAGCAGUUGAACCAGCACAUAAUAGUUGAUGUACUUUCUGAUCUUGUAGUCCUACGUCUGAGAAGCUGAGCAGAAUGCUUACAGAGAUUGGAUCUAAUGAGAAUUGAAGUUUCAUCCUUGGGAGGUUUUGGUGUUGACAGACAGAACAUACACAGCACACACGUCUGCAUGGCUUAGAAAUGGAAAGACAAACACUGAAAAGAUACUGGCAAUGAAUCAGAUGUUGCCUCAGUUCCUUAUUUGUUACAAAACAGGAAGCAUCACUACAUUACUGGUAGGUUUGCCUUUCUCAAAUGCAGCAUAUAGGUAAAAAGUAGCUCAUUUGACAAAGAGAGGAAGGCUGGCCCUUUGAUAAAGGGAUGCUUUAGGAUAUAAUAGAUUCCAGGUCUUAAUCUUCCAAAGAUUACCUACCUGGCACUGGAAUAAGUCAUUAAGGAGUCAUUCCACCUCAUUUUAACCAUCUGGAAGUUAGGUAUCUACUCACAACAUUGUUUCUCUGCUAUUAAUAGAGAGCAUCCUGAAAAGGUGACUUUUGUUAUUCCAGAAAGAAUCAUCCAUUGAAGGUAUGGCUUUUUCUCAUUUACUAUAAGAUGAGCCUAGUCAGCUAUGUUUGCCUGCAUACAAAAUUUGUAGAUGUCUGUCUUCAAUAUCACUGUACUGUCUUCAAGAGUUGGAGGCAGUCCUGUAUCUGAGGAAUUGAAUAUACUGUCCAGGCUGGACAGACUGGACAGUACAGGAAAGGCUCUCAAGAUCUCAAGAUAGCUUGCCAUUAAGUAUUCUCUCUCUUUCUCUCUCUGGGUGUUUCUCUUUUUAUAAAUACAUAAUCAACUUAAUUUUUAACCUAUUCUGUUGAGAGGGGAAACCUCUACCCUCUACCCUCCACAUCUUGUGCAGUUUUGCCAUGUGGUUUUCCUUUACAGCACACUAAAAACAAUCAUUCAAACUUUGCCCUAUUACUUUUGUCCUCCCAUGUUACACUUCUGUGUGUCAGAGGAUAAAAAUUGUUUGUAAUAAUUUUGCAGCCUGCUUUCAAAUGCCCCAAAUGCUUCCAUUCAUCCACAAGCACUGAGAAACUGGACUGAUCUAUCUGCUUAAUUUACAAGUGGUGAGGUUAGGCAAGUUGAUCUGGACCCCCCUUUCCAGACGUACUCUUGUGACUGAUUUUAAGGAGUUUUAGCUCCUUAAUUUCCAGUUAUUGUUUCUCAUCUGUUAACUGUACCCCACCCCUUUGGCUGCACUGCUGUGACUUAUUGUGUGAGGUACAGUCAGCCUUUCAGUGUGAAUUGAAAUAGCAACCAACAGCCAAAGGAUUGUAACUGUUUAAGCUGUUAAGGCUCAACUGAAAGAGUAUAUCCAAGUGUACCCUUAAACCCUCUGUCCCUCAACCUUCCGUCUAUAAACCGUGAUUUAUGUCUCCCUGCCUCAUCACAGUAAGUUGUGACAGUUACUCGCUCACAGGAUUACAGCUUAAAUGAAAAUAUAUUUAAAACUGAAUCCAGUGAACUCAACCUGAACUUUUUUGAAUUCCCAUAUGCCUACCAAAAGGAAGAAUAAAUACCUCUUUAGAGAACAGAGCUGCACAGACAUUGAUUUGCUCUAAUUUUGGGCAAGGCAAUGUAAGAUUACCUCUUUCUUCAUAACACUUUGAGGGAGACAACCUGUUGCAGAGUAACUGGGUCCUGACUCAGGCCCCCAAAUUUUGAUGGAGGGAAGUUUUUGUCUAGAUCCAGGUUGUGAGUUUUUGGUUUAGGCUGGACUCUAUAGAAUAUAAGAUUUGCAGAGGAGGAUUUAAUGCUGCAAUUUGUUCCCACAAACAAAAGCUCCUGUAGUUCUUGUGCUGCUUUGGUGUGGUUUUGGCUUUAGUAAGCACAAAUUGUAACUUUUUGCCUACCUUCUCAAAGGAUGUUCCUCCUCCAAAGCACACAGUGCUUGUUGUGAGCCUGAUUAUGCCACAAACCCAGCAAAGAACAUGUUCAUGGGGCUGUAGCAGAGUGGUUGUUCCCUAGAUAUCUUAUUGACUGACACGUUAAUUGGGCAACUUGCAAGAUCUCUGAAGACAGGGAGAGAUUUCCUAUGCAACUUCUCCCAGGCAGGACAGAAUUUUAACCUUUGCAAAUGAUCCGCAUCCAGCACAGGCAUAAGCAUGUGCUCUGCUCCAGCUCUAAGAGCCACUGGGUGGAGAAUUGGAGUUAAAUUAAAAUGGAGAAGUAGGAGUUGACUAUGGUGGGGAAAUCCGUAAGGGAUGUAUUGCAACAGUGAGGUGCUGAAUUUGCUGCCCUCUUUCUCCAACAAUUUGGUUGGAAAGUGCAGCUUUGGCAGAGAAAUGCCCUCAAGGAGGGUUGUGUGUUGAGUUUUUAUUUCCAAACUAAGUUGUCCCUGUGUGUUUAUGUGGAAGUUGAAGAGACUGAAAUUUCCCUUUCAGAGCUACUGCUUAGUGGCCAGCAGCAUGGGACAAAUACUCUCCUACAGGGAGACCUGAUAAGGAAAAGGAAGCCUAUGAAGUGUUUAAACAAUUUGAGGAAACCCCUGAAUCACAGACCCUCGUUCUCAUGGGGGACUUUAACCUCCCUGACAUCUGCUGGAAGGGCAACUCAGCUGGAUGCAAGCAGUCAAGAAGAUUUCUGGAUGGUGUUGGGGAUAACUCUUUGAUACAGGUAUUGGAUGGGCCAACCAGGGGUGAUGCACAGCUGGAUCUGCUAAUCUCUAACAAAGAAGACCUGGCUGUGGCGGUGGUGAUCAAUGGCAGCCUUGAGUGUCAUGACUGUAAAACAGUGGAGCUCAAGAUCCUGUUGGGAGUGAAAAAAGAGAGUAGCAGAGUACAGACCCUGGACUUCAGGCGAGCAUAAUUCAGCUUAUUCAGGGAACUGGUAGGUGAGAUCCCAUGGGGGCCGCUCUGAAGGGCAAUGGAGCUCAGGAAAGCUGGCAGGUCUUUAAGGACAGCAUCCUCCAAGCGCAAGAACAGAUCAUCCCGAAAUUCUUGAAAACAGGUAGAUAACGUCAGGAGACCAGCCUGGCUAAUCAGGAAACUCCUGGCAGAGCUCCAAUGCAAAAAGGCAGCAUACAGGAGGUGGAAGCAGGGCCAGACUACCAAGGAGGAAUUCAGAAACAUUGCCCAGGCAUGUAGGGAUGGUGUCAGAAAAGCCAAAGCACAACUGGAAUUGACCCUUGCAAGAGACAUGAAGGGCAACAAGAGCUUUUACUAUGACAGUAGUAAAAGGCUGAACAAAGAAAAUGUUGGCCCAUUGUUGAAUGGGGCAGAUGAUUUAGUGACAGCAGACACCAACAAGGCUGGGGUGCUCUAUGGCCUCUUUGCUUCAGUCUUCACCAAAAAAGGUGUCCCAGACCUCUGCACUUAGUGAAAGGGCUCAAGGAGGAGAAAAACAACCACCAGUGCAGGACUGAGCCACGGAUUACUUGAGUGAACCCAACCCAUACAAGUCCAUGGGACCAACAGAUUGCAUCCAAGGAUGCUGAGAGAUUUGGGUGAUGUCCUUGCAAGGCCUCUCUCUAUACAUUUUGAAAGGCAGUGGGGACUGAAGGAGGUCUCAUGGAAAAAGGCAAGUAUCACACCAAUCUUCAGAAACAGCCAAAACAACAAUCCAGGGAACUACAGGCAGGUUGGCCUCACUGCAGUCCCAGGAAAAAUUAUGGAGCAAAUCCUUCUGGAGCACAUUUCUGGCCAUAUGAAGGAGAAGAUCAUAGGGAACAGUCAGCAUGGAUUUACCAAUGGUAAAUCUCGCCUGACCCACCUGAUUGAUUUCUAUGAUAAAAUGAUCAGAUCUGUGGUUGAAGGGAGAGAAGUAGAUGUCAUUUACCUUGACUUUAGCAAGGCUUUGGACACAAUCUUCUGCAGUAUUAUUGUAUCCAGUUGGGACAUUAUGGUCUGGAUGGGUGGGCAACCAGCUAGUUAAAAACCUGGUUGGAUGGCCAGGCUCAGAGGGUCAUGCGUAAUGGGUUGUACCGUAGCUGGAUGCUCGUGACAACUGGGGUACCACUGGGGUCUAUCCUGGGACCUGUCCUGUUUUACAGUUUUGUCAGUGACCUGGUGGAAGUGAAGGAAUAUGUUCUCAUGAAGUUUGCAGAUGACACCAAACUGGGAGGACGAGUCGAUACGAUUGAGGAGGGCUACCAUUCAGAGGGACCAAGACAUCCUGGAGGAAUGGGCUGACAGGAACCUUUUGAAAUUCAGUAAGGACAAAUGCAAAGUCCUGCCCCCUGGCAGGAAGAGUCCCCUGCAGUGACACAGUGGGGGAUGGCCUGGCUGGGGAGCAGCUUUGCAGAAAGGACCUGGAGGCCAGGGAACAGCGAGCUGCACAGAAGCCAGCAGCACGUCCUGGCACCACAGAAGGACAACAGCAUCCUGGGCUGCAUUAACAGGAGCAGAGAGGGUAGAGCAAGAGGGAUUAUCCCCUUCUAAUCAGCAGUCAUUAGACCACAUCUGGAUACUGCAUCCAGUUUGGGUCCCUCAGGACAAGAAAGACGUCAACAAAUUGGAGCAAGUCCAGUGGAGGCCACCAAGUUGUUUGGGGGCUAGAGCACUUGCCUUCUGAGGAAAGAACAAGGGAGCUGAACUUGUUCAGGCUGGAGAAGAGACAGCUUCAGUGGGGCCCAACAGCAACCUCAUGCGUACAGGAAGCUCAUCAAGAGGAUAGAGCCAGGGUCUUCACCAUUGUAAAGAACAAGAGAAAACAAAAGUCAGUGGAAGCAAGAGAAUUUCUGACUGCAUGUAAGGAAAAACUUUUUUCCCCAUGAGGACAGUCCUGCACUGGAACAGGAAAGAGAUUGUGCAAUCUCCACCCUUAAAGGUUUCAAGACCUAACUGAAUAAAACCCUGAGAAACCUGGUCUGAUCUCAUAGCUGGCCCUGCUUUGAGCAGGAGAUUGAACUAGAAACCUCCUGAGGACCCUCCAAACCUGAAUUCUCCUGUGGUCCUAUGAUAAUACAGGACUUGGAUGAACUUCUAUAUAAAUUAAACUACCAUUAUUAGGAGAAUAAGAAGCAUCCAACCUUGAUUUGCUCAUACAGUGCUUGGCAAGGUAUCCUUGUGAUUAAAGACCCUCCCAGUUAAAAGUGUGUACUUUAUUUUUAUCCUAAGUAUGUUGGGCUUUGCCUUCCAGUCACUGGAUUUCUUCCUUUGUGGAAAACAUAUUACUGCUCUUCUGUUCCCUGGGUUGUCAUCCUUCAGCUUCCUUCAGGGAAGCUGAUAGAUUGCAGACUUUCACCAUUAAAACCUAUUUUCUUGUUCUCUUGGUUCAGGUCUGAACCCUCCCUAUAUUUUUUCAGAUCCUAUUUGGGAAUCUCCAGUUCUAUAUCCAGGAACCUAUUCUCUCUUCUGACGACAAUGUUGCGUGUGGUAUGGAUGGUACAUCAAGAGUCCACUUGGAUCCACACCAUGCAUUUUUCUCAGAUUCACUACUUCCCAGGAUGCCAUAUGCUCCUUAUCCCUAAACAUAAGCACUUGUAAUGGCUGCGCUGCCACGCAUUGAUUGUUUGUGGCCCAUUGUCUUGACAGUCAGUGUCACUAACUUGUUUUUCUUUUUUAGCACUCUAUGAGGCAUUGUAUCAGCUGCAAAUAUUCCUAGGAAGGACUUUGUGCAUUUUGGCAAGUUGUUGGUAAAGUAUGUAUUUGCAGAGGGGCAAAAAAGUCCUUCUGCCUCCCUCCUACCUCACUAGAAACAAGCCCAGCUGAUGCUGAUGGCCCUUCUGCACUUGCAGAGAGCUGUCUCUUUUGGAUUUGUUUGUUAUUUUAUCCAUGUAAUUUGUGGGGCAUUGAUUUUCGUUUCUUUUUGAAGGAGUCAUGUGGUGUUAAUCCAAGUGGUGUUACAGCAGUGCUGUUCUCUUCCUCUGGCAAUCUUGUAAUCUCUUCAAGGAGUGCUUUCAGGUUUGAUGGGGUUUGUCUUCUGUCAAGCAUCUGAGAAUGAAAUAAAUGAGAGGGAAGUAAGGAUCAGGAGAGGGGCAUCUUAACGAACAGGGGUGUGCUGGCCUAGAAGAAGGAGACACCUUCCCUCGGGGACUGGAAAAAGAAGAAAAAACAGAGUCUGAGGCCAAGGUAGCUGGGUAGGUAGGAAACUGGAACUGGGAGAUGGAGAAGACAGGUUCAAAAAUGUUAAUAACUUACAUCCAGUGACAUCCAUGCUGGUUACCAGGCAUAGGAUUGUGGAUGGCUGUUCACACAGUUUACUAAUGAGGUUUGUUGCACUGAGAGGGUACUGUAGGAUAGUCUCUAGUUCAGCACAUGUGUCUGGACAUUAACAAAUACUUCUCUUCUGUAUAUCUGGAACAGUAGGCCCUGGGCGCCUGCACCCAGCUGGACCUGAACCAAUGGCUGUCAGUUUUAUUCUCAUCUCAUACAGCACUCCCAGGGACCCCUCUGAGGAGCGGUUCACCCAAGACAUAACGAGACAUGCAGCACCUUGGGAAAGCCGCACCAUUUGGAGACAAGCCCAGGAGACGCAGCACUGACAGUGCACUGGCUGGGUGACCAUGCUCAUAGUUGGAGGAGAAGCCUUGUUGAAGCACAGACCUGAGCCUUGGGCAACCUGAGUUGCAUCCACAUUCUCCCCGUCCAAGCGGAGAAUCAGUUAUACUCAGUAUUCUUCAUCAAAGCACAGUCAUUACCAGGCUUUGUAAGGUCUGACAUGAUCUGCAAGAUGGAGGGGUAGAUAGGUUGGAAGGUGUCUUUCUGCUCUUCUGAGGAGACAUCCCAUGGCACUCAAGCAAUUCCUUUCUAGUCAGAAGGUCACAGAGAAUCCAGGUUGAAAAUAUCUGCUGUAGCUGUAAGUAAUAAGUCUUGGGUACUCGCUGUUCCAGACCUCAGAGGACGGCACAAUCAUGGAUUCUUAGCCAAAGUAUUACAUGGACCGUCUACUACCGGAUCUCUGGCUCCCCAUGCUUAACUUCAUGCUGUGCUUCACUUGUGAAUGAAAUCAAGCAUAAGGCGCCAAAGUCCUUGGUCAAUGUUACCUCUGAAUCUUCUGUAUAAUGCAGAGGACUUGAAUUAUGGAUCCAGAUCCAGCUUAUAGAUACCUGCUCUCAUUCUGUAUGUUUUUUAUUAAAGUAGUCUCUCCGUGAAUGUCAUAUUGGCAAACCAAGUUUUGGGAGCUCUUUCAUCAUUUAAAGGACAAUUGCUGUGUCACAGCAUUAUAUCUCAUCAGCUUUAUAUUAACAGAUGAAGAGAAAGGCUCUAAACUGUAUUUGAUUUUUAAAAAAUAAGUAAUAAAACGUCAUCUUUUUUCAUUCUGAGACUCUAUAGCAAAAGCACUGAACAGUGCUGUUUACCUUUUUUUUAUUACAUAGUAUUGGUAUUCUUAAAGGUUGGACUGGAAACUCAUCUUUUUCAUUAAAGUUCUCAAUAUCAGG